UUGAAAUCGAGAUCGCUGAGGUGUUGUAUGGCUUGAUGAGGCAGCCUCAGGGACCUACAAAACAAGAAGUUGUUGCAAAUGAUUCGAUGAAGUUUGAUUCGAGGGAACUGAGCAACCAUAAGUCAACUGGUGAUGCAAAAUCCAGAGUUUCAUCUCCGAUCUCCAACUCACCUUCAACCAUACCUCAUUCAUCUUCAAUUCCUCCCACUAAUUCUAGCUCAUCUGCCACUCCCAUGUCUGCUAUUGCGCCAAAGAGAAAAAGGCCGCGACCAGUCAAGUACGAGGACGAGCCUCCAUCAGUUUAUCCUGUGCGGAGUAGUCCCAUUUCGUCGACAAUCAAGGGGGAUAUCGACCAGCCUCCCAAAAUCGAAAGUUGUUCUCCCAAUUUGGAUCAGAAUUCAGGAUCUGCAGCUGAAAAUGGCGUCGUUCCACAUGAUACCACAACCAGUCAAGCUGUUCCGGUUUCAACAGAUGCCCAGCCGCAACAGCAGCAGCAGGAGCAAGUAAUGUCUGAGAGUAAUCUGUUGUUAGAGUCGAAACCUUCCGUGCAAGAUUCAGAGAAUACAGAUUUAGCUGUGAACAAAGAGGAGCCUCGAUCGCCGA
rnacentral:misc_RNA from 1 species